AUUGAACGCUGGCGGCAUGCCUUACACAUGCAAGUCGAACGGUAACGGGCCUUAGGGUGCCGACGAGUGGCGAACGGGUGAGUAAUACAUCGGAACGUGCCCGAUCGUGGGGGAUAACGAGGCGAAAGCUUUGCUAAUACCGCAUACGAUCUACGGAUGAAAGCAGGGGACCGCAAGGCCUUGCGCGGACGGAGCGGCCGAUGGCAGAUUAGGUAGUUGGUGGGGUAAAAGCUUACCAAGCCGACGAUCUGUAGCUGGUCUGAGAGGAUGAUCAGCCACACUGGGACUGAGACACGGCCCAGACUCCUACGGGAGGCAGCAGUGGGGAAUUUUGGACAAUGGGCGCAAGCCUGAUCCAGCCAUGCCGCGUGCAGGAUGAAGGCCUUCGGGUUGUAAACUGCUUUUGUACGGAACGAAAAGCCUUCGUUUAAUACCGGAGGGUAAUGACGGUACCGUAAGAAUAAGCACCGGCUAACUACGUG
rnacentral:rRNA from 1 species